ACAAACUUGGUCAUUUAGAGGAAGUAAAAGUCGUAACAAGGUUUCCGUAGGUGAACCUGCGGAAGGAUCAUUGCAAUUGACGGCGGCGUGUCUCCGAGUGCCUCACAGUACGAAGGACCGCCGCUUCACCAAUUCAUCAAACGCCCUGUGAACCUGGUCGCAGACACACCGGCUCGCGCCCCGCCACCUGGGCGGUGGGGCCACGGCGAAAGCUGUGCCGCGUCUCGGCCCAAACCAAAACAAAAUGUUUUUUCUUCCCUUCUUUCCUAGACUGAAGUGACAAAAAAAAAAACAAAACAUUCUUACAACUUUUAACAAUGGAUAUCUUGGCUCGCGCAUCGAUGAAGAACGCAGC
rnacentral:misc_RNA from 1 species